GGUCCUGUAGCUCAGUGGUGAUAGCGAUGGUCUUACGAGCCAUAGGCCGUGGGUUCGACCCCCGCGGGGACUA
rnacentral:tRNA from 1 species